rnacentral:rRNA from 1 species
UACGAAGGGUGCAAACGUUGCUCGGAAUUAUUGGGCGUAAAGCGCACGUAGGCGGCUUUGCAAGUCGGAUGUGAAAUCCCUCAGCUCAACCAAGGAAGUGCAUCCGAAACUGCAGAGCUUGAGUACCAAAGAGGAGUCGCGGAAUUCCCGGUGUAGAGGUGAAAUUCGUAGAUAUCGGGAGGAACACCAGUGGCGAAGGCGGCGAUCUGGGUGGAUACUGACGCUGAGGUGCGAAAGCGUGGGGAGCAAACAGG